rnacentral:rRNA from 1 species
GAUGAACGCUGGCGGCGUGCCUAAUACAUGCCAGUCGAGCGAACAGACGAGGCGCUUGCUCCUCUGACGUUAGCGGCGGACGGGUGAGUCACACGUGGAUAACCUACCUAUAAGACUGGGAUAACUUCGGGAAACCGGCGAAUAUACCGGAUAAUAUAUUGAAGCGCAUGGUUCAAUAGUGAAAGACGGCUUUGCUGUCUCUACUCGCUGGAUACGCGCCGGAUUAGCUAGUUGUUAAGGUAACGGCUUACCAAGGCGACGAUGCGUAGACGAACGGAGAGAGUGAUCGGCCACACUGGAACUGAGACACGGUCCAGACUCCUACGGGAGGCAGCAGUCGGGAAUCUUCCGCAAUGGGCGAAAGCCUGACGGAGCAACGCCGCGUGAGUGAUGAAGGUCUUCGGAUCGUAAAACUCUGUUAUUAGGGAAGAACAAAUGUGUAAGUAACUAUGCACGUCUUGACGGUACCUAAUCAGAAAGCCACGGCUAACUACGUG